rnacentral:rRNA from 1 species
AGAGUUUGAUCCUGGCUCAGGAUGAACGCUAGCGGCAGGCUUAACACAUGCAAGUCGAGGGGCAGCGCGGGGUAGCAAUACGUCUGGCGGCGACCGGCGGAAGGGUGCGUAACGCGUGAGCAACAUGCCCGUGGCAGGGGGAUAAGCGAUGGAAACGUCGUCUAAGACCCCGUAACAACAGAGUUCGCAUGGAUUUGUUGAAAGCUUCGGCGGCCACGGAUUGGCUCGCGUCCCAUUAGGCAGUUGGCGGGGUAACGGCCCACCAAACCGACGAUGGGUAGGGGUUCUGAGAGGAAGGUCCCCCACAAUGGAACUGAGACACGGUCCAUACUCCUACGGGAGGCAGCAGUGAGGAAUAUUGGUCAAUGGGCGGAAGCCUGAACCAGCCAUGCCGCGUGCAGGAAUAAGGCCCUACGGGUCGUAAACUGCUUUUGUACGGGAGCAAUAAGGGUCACGCGUGGCCCGAUGAGAGUACCGUACGAAUAAGCAUCGGCUAACUCCGUGCC